UGCUUGGAACCCAGCCACCAUAAAGCCUGCUAGCUAAAAAAAUUUUACAUCUCUCAGUUCAUUCAGCACAGACCCCCGCCUCAUUCACCUGUGACUCUGCUUGGAAAAUACAUCAGUUACAAAGCAGCCAAUGCAAUUAUCUCAAGGCAUUGAAUUCAGCAUCUUUUAGUGAAGAAAAUAACCGAACAUGCUUUUCUUCUGAAGACACAAAGUCCAAAGGCCAAUCACACACCUCUUACAUUGAUCUCUUGAUGCAACCAUGGCAUCCGACAAUAGCCAUCUACCUUGUAAUAUUUAUAAUUACUCCUCCCUGUUCCUCAGUCAAGCGCACCAACCAGAACAUUCCUUUCCACCUAUAUUCCAUGCUGAUUCACAGCCAGUGAGAUUUUAACAAGCACAUAUCAGCCAUAGUAUGCCAGGGGCUUUCAGAACACCACCUUUCCACCAACAAUGGGAUGCUCAGGGCCAGCCACCUGGAGGGUGGCCUAGCCCUAAAAUCCCCUUUACAGCCCAUUUUCCUGGACCAUUAGCAACCGUCGUACUAGGUCAAGUUCCCCAGGAAAAAGACUCUUAGACUAAGAUUUGCAUGGAAAAGUUUAUUAGGAGCAGAUCUGGGGACAAACACUGCAAGACAGGGACACAAGUAGGUUCAAUCAGAGGAAGAGGCUAGAUGGCGAUGCAGUUUCCAGAAGAGACUCCACCCACCCCACAGGCAGCUUGCACUCUCCAGAGUCCCCCCAGACAGACAAGGGAGCUGCACC
rnacentral:sRNA from 1 species